UACGUAGGGUGCGAGCGUUGUCCGGAAUUAUUGGGCGUAAAGGGCUCGUAGGCGGUUUGUCGCGUCGGGAGUGAAAACCUUGGGCUUAACUCAGGGCUUGCUUUCGAUACGGGCAGACUAGAGGUAUGCAGGGGAGAACGGAAUUCCUGGUGUAGCGGUGAAAUGCGCAGAUAUCGUAAGGAAGACCAGUGGCGAAGGCGGGUCUCUGGACAGUGACUGACGCUGAGACGCGAAAGCGUGGGGAGCAAACAGG
rnacentral:rRNA from 1 species